CCUACGGGAGGCAGCAGUGGGGAAUAUUGCACAAUGGGCGGAACUCUGAUGCAGCGAAGCCGCGUGAGUGAAGAAGUAAUUCGUUAUGUAAAGCUCUAUCAGCAGGGAAGCAAGUGACGGUACCUGAAAAAUAAGCUCCGGCUAAAUACGUGCCAGCUGCCGCGGUAAUACGUAUGGAGCAAGCGUUAUCCGGAUUUACUGGGUGUAAAGGGAGAGUAGGUGGCAGAGCAAGUCCGAAGGGAAAACACAAAUAUCAACUAUGGGAAUGCUUUAGAAACUGCUCAGCUAGAGUGAAGGAGAGGUAAGGGGAAUGCGUAGUGUAGCGGUGAAAUGCAUAGAUAUUAGGAGGAACACCAGUGGCGAAGGCAGCUUGCUGGAGUGUAACUGACACUGAGGCACGAAAGUGUGGGGAGCAAACAGGAUUAGAUACCCGGGUAGUC
rnacentral:rRNA from 1 species